AGAGUUUGAUCCUGGCUCAGAGUGAACGUUGGCGGCGUGGAUUAGGCAUGCAAGUCGUGCGGAAAGGCUCCUUCGGGAGUACUCGAGCGGCGAAAGGGAGAGUAAUGCGUAGAUUACCUACCUCUAGGCCCGGGAUAGCCGCGGGAAACUGCGGGUAAUACCGGAUAACGUCUCCGGACCAAAGGUGUGAUUCCGCCUAGAGACGGGUCUGCGUCCUAUUAGCUAGUUGGCGAGGUAACGGCUCACCAAGGCUAAGAUGGGUACGAGGCGUGAGAGCGUGUCCUCGCUCACUGGGACUGAGACACUGCCCAGACACCUACGGGUGGCUGCAGUCGAGAAUCUUCGUCAAUGGGCGCAAGCCUGAACGAGCGACGCCGCGUGCGGGAUGAAGGCCUUCGGGUUGUAAACCGCUGUCAGAGGGGAUGAAAUGCCGGGGGGUUCUCCCUCCGGUUUGACAGAUCCUCAGAGGAAGUACGGGCUAAGUUCGUGCCAGCAGCCGCGGUAACACGAACCGUACAAACGUUACUCGGAAUUACUGGGCUUAAAGGGUGCGUAGGCGGCUUGUUAAGUUGGGUGUGAAAGCCCUCGGCUCAACCGAGGAAUUGCGCUCAAUACUGGCGAGCUUGAGGGAGACAGAGGUGAGCGGAACUUAGGGUGGAGCGGUGAAAUGCGUUGAUAUCCUAAGGAACACCAGGGGCGAAAGCGGCUCACUGGGUCUCUUCUGACGCUGAGGCACGAAAGCUGGGGGAGCGAAGAGGAUUAGAUACCCUCGUAGUCCCAGCCGUAAACGAUGAGCACUA
rnacentral:rRNA from 1 species